UCUGUGUCUGAACAGUUUUUUUCUGGUGGAUGUCCCACAACAAAAUAAAAUUAAUAAAAAAUAAAUAAAUUAUGAAGCUGACUGUAAUAACCUGGGUCCCUGAUAAUUUUAUCAGGCCAUACAAUAGAAAAGCCAGCCAUCUCCUCAUGAAGGGCAUUCUUCUUUUGAAUGUCUUCCCUUCAGAAUGGAAGUCAGGAAAUAUGUUGCAUUUGGGGCCAGUAUGCCAUCCAAACUGGACAAUGAAGACACAAAAGAAGAUGACUGUUGAAUUUUGUCAAGACAAGCUUGCCUGAAGAUCAGAGGGCAGAGCUGGCCACUGGCUGACCAUAGAAGUCUAGAGGUCUGUACAGACAGACAGGAAGAGAUACGGCUGUGCAGAGAGAGAAAUAUAAGGUGGGAGGAGACAGUAGUUUGACCCUUUUUUCUGCUGAGGAAUUAGUAAGGUAAGAGUUAUCUGUGGCUUGCUCCUUUCUCUCUCUGAUCUUUCAGCAUCUGUCCUAAUAUCUGGCUCCGGGUUUUUAAUUAUUAAGACCAAUUAGAACUUGUGUAACAAUUGUGCCCAACUUUAUGGUGUGAAUUCACGAAAAAGCCACUUGUCUGUGACUUUGCAGUCAUUGGCACUCAUGGGGGCUCCCACCAAAGUCACCACCCUGCCAGCUAGGUUUUCUUUUCUGUUUUUCUCCAAACCUCUGCUUUUCAUUUGGUCAGAUAUAACUUGCCAAAAGGGAACUUCCCAAAAUUAGGGUUGGGGAAGGGCAUUGUUUCUGUCUUUUCAGGAGAAUAAAGGUAUCCAGCUAAGGAAUCUGAAGACCACUGGUCAAAUGAGACAUCUGAAGAAAAGGACAAAUCAUCCAGAGAAAAUGUCCCAAGAAAAGAAGUAAUUUGACCAUUGGCAUAUCACAUUUCCAACAGGACAAAAUUUCAUAAAUCUUUCCAAAUAUCACAUUUCCAGCAGGGACUCUCUGGUGAGGGUCUUUCCAAGUAAGAAAAUGGGGAGCUAGAAAGAUGGUUCAACAUUUAUGAGCACAGACCGCUCCUGCAGAGGGUUUGAGUUUGGUCCUGAGUACCCACAUUGGGGGGGUUACUCAUAACCAGUCCAGCUUUAGGGAUCUGACACCCUUUUCUGACCUCUGUGGCACUAGGCUCACAUGUACCCACCCCACACAGAUACACAGUUGAAAAUGAAAAUAAAAGGCAGGGCACGGUGGUAUAUGCCUUUCAUCUCAGCACUCAGAAGGCAGAGGCAAGCAUAGGUGAAUCUUUGUGAGUUCAAGGAGAAGACUUGUCUACAGAGCAAGUUCUAGGACAGCCAGGAGGUAUAUAGAGAAACCUUUUCUCGAUAAGCAAAUAAACAAAAAGAACCAAAAUAAAUAAAUGAUUAAAUAAAUAAAAUAUAAGCAUACAUGCAAAAAGAUAACCGACAUAUAAUGGUCAUUACUGUUCAAAAACUAGAAAACAGCAGGAUCUUUUUUCUUUGUAAUCUGAGUGACACCCAGAGCAGGGGGACCUUGAAUCAGCAAGUUUGGCAGAGGGAUACAGGUUGGGAAGUAGCCAUGAGCCAAGAAAGGACAGGUCAGCCAGGGUUUGGGAACGCUGCAGGAUCAAGGUCCACAAAGCCCAAAGCAGGGUAAGGGGAAGUCAGCUGUGGCAGGAGACUUGCUGAGGCCUGCCCCAGAAACAAAGCCCUUUCUCUUCUCACUUACUCCAUUUUGCCUGGCAAGCGUGCCUCUACCCCAGGGCCUGGCGUGGAUUUGGAGUCGGAAGGAGAGGACAGUAUGGCUUUUAAGUCAGACAGAUAGCAGGGAUAUGAUUUUUCCAGGGGGUUCCUCUCUCUUAGCGAGGCUGAAGUCUGAUUCAUAGGCUGUGAAUAUGUCUUCUUACCAUUGGUUAGUAAAGAAGCUGAUUUGGCCAAUAGCCAGGCAGAAGAUAACUAGGAGCCUAUACAGAGGCCAGAAGAGGUGUCCAAUCACAGAUGGUUGUGAGCAGCCCUGGGAGGUCUGGAAACCGAACCCAGGUCCUCUGCAGGAGCAGCAAGUUCUCUUGACCCGCCAAGCCAUCUAUCUCUCCAGCCCCUUAGGCUUCAAUUUAAGAUCGUUUUUUAAGGCCUUAAAGACGGCAAGAAAGGAAGAAGACUCAUUGAUGUACAGAAUUGGGAGUCUCGGUGUAAUUUAAAGUCACGAAUUCGACCAAUUCUUGAGACUAAAAUCUUCCCAAGAUCACACAGCAGGACAGACCCGAAGAUGGGUCUGAAGACUGGGAGACGGGUCUAGAAUUGGAAGCUUUAUUCCUAAAUCCUUUCUGAUAAAGGUGGCCACCUGGCCAUUUUACUAUCUCUGAGCGAUGUCUUUUUUUUUUUUUUUUUUUUCUUUUCACUUCAUGAACUGACUUUCUGCAGUCAGGCUUCUCAGACUGUCCUGUAGUUCUCAUCAGUCCUGCUAACUCUGGGGUAUUUUCUGUUGAUUCGCGCAUCACCAUUGACGUGCAUUACUAAAUGAUUGUUGGUGUCCAGGCUCUAAUACGAAUCACCGAAACAGAAGCGGCCUCUGCUCAGCGGAGGGCCCACUUGGAAUGAAGUCUAGGAGCCAGUCUAUUGGGUUGCACUUCUGAGCUCGGUAUUGUCUAUGCUUAGACUGGUAGGAAAUGUACCCAGGUAAGAAAGGAAUGUCAGGUGGAUUCGGGGACUUGUCCAAGCUUUCCUAGGAGCUAAUGGAAGGAAGGACCGGUUUGCAUGUCACGGAAGAUUCGAGAAAUGGGCCUCUGGCCCAAGGGCUGCACAGAGGGUGACUAGCCAGUCUAACCAGACUUAAUCUAGCACAGGGUCCGCCCGAGGUCGCUUGUGUAGGAUGCAGGCGGGACACAGGAGCGGCCAGUGGGAGAGGCAGAGGAGCGGAGGAGAGCGAUCGAGACGGAGAGAGGAGAGAAAGCAGCGAGGGAGGAGCUGCAGCAGACGCGGCGGCGGAACCGCCAGCUGAGAGCUCAA